rnacentral:lncRNA from 1 species
AUCCACGUGAGAGGAUAAAGAUGAGUAAUUGCACAUUUGAAUUCAAAUCAAAUUUUGAAUUCAAAUGAAAACUAAUUUAUCCCUAUCCACUAAGGGCGUGAGAAGAGGAGGGCGUGGCUUAAUUUGUGCAUGAGUGAUUUCAUGAGAAAUAUUUUCUCGUGUAAUAAAUGGGGCAUUAAAAGAGGAUAAGGUCAAGGCGCUAAGAUUGGUUGCUCAUUCAAAUUCAA